GUGAAAGAAUCAUGAUUCUGAUUGUUAUAAAUAGAUAGAUUUCAUCUGCAUUCUCUUUUUUCCCCUACAGGCUCUGAUGAGAAGUGCAGGCAGGGAACGGCUUCAGAACUCCCCCGAGACGAAAGAGCCUUGGCACCUCAGCUUCCUGGUCCCAGGGCCGCCCCAGACAAAGCAUCAGCCAAAAUCCAGGGCCCCAGGGGUAGUUUCUGCCUCUCUAUCUCUCCAGAAACCCCCUGUCCAGAGUCUGACUGCGGCUUAACUGUUCAGACUGAGGAAUAGAGAAGGCCGUGGGUGCCCCCAGUCCCUCUCAGGCAAGAGCCUCCCUCUCCUGGGGACUGGGGCCUUGCCAGCUUGUGCCGUGGCCAGACACUGCCGCUUAGCCAUACAGGUCAUCAUCAUUGUCUUCUGUGUCCGUUUGAUUUCAUGAUUGUGGUUUUGAUUUGUGAUGGGGAGUGACCUGCCACCGAGGGCUAGGUUCAGCUGGGCCUUCGGGUGAAAGUGGGG
rnacentral:lncRNA from 1 species